CACCAGCCGCCCCCGAAAUGCAGUGGCGACCUCGCCGCAGCCUCCCCUGCGUAGUAGCACACACCUCGCACCGGAGCGCGGAGACGGUCACGCCGUAAAACGCCCAACUUCUUAGAGUUGACCUCGGAUCAGGUAGGAAU
rnacentral:rRNA from 1 species